rnacentral:rRNA from 1 species
GCCUAUGGCCAUACCACCCUGAAAACGCCCAAUCUUGUCUAAUCUCGGAUGCUAAACAGGGUCGGGCCUGGUUAGCACUUGGAUGGGAGGCAGAGACCAGCCCAUAGGCA